rnacentral:rRNA from 1 species
GACGAACGCUGGCGGCGUGCUUAACACAUGCAAGUCGAACGGAAAGGCCCUGCUUUUGUGGGGUGCUCGAGUGGCGAACGGGUGAGUAACACGUGAGUAGCCUGCCCUUGACUUUGGGAUAACUUCAGGAAACUGGGGCUAAUACCGGAUAGGAGCUCCUGCUCCAUGGUGGGGGUUGGAAAGUUUCGGCGGUUGGGGAUGGACUCGCGGCUUAUCAGCUUGUUGGUGGGGUAGUGGCUUACCAAGGCUUUGACGGGUAGCCGGCCUGAGAGGGUGACCGGCCACAUUGGGACUGAGAUACGGCCCAGACUCCUACGGGAGGCAGCAGUGGGGAAUAUUGCACAAUGGGCGGAAGCCUGAUGCAGCAACGCCGCGUGCGGGAUGACGGCCUUCGGGUUGUAAACCGCUUUCGCCUGUGACGAAGCGUGAGUGACGGUAAUGGGUAAAGAAGCACCGGCUAACUACGUG